GACGAACGCUGGCGGCGAGCUUAACACAUGCAAGUGGAACGGAAAGGCCCUGCUCUUGUGGGGUGCGCGAGUGGCGAACGGGUGAGUAACACGAGAGUAACCCGCCCUUGCCUUGGGGGCAACUUCAGGAAACGGGGGCUAAUAUCGGAUAGGAGCUCCGGCUGCGGGGUGGGGGUUGGAAAGGUUCGGCGGUGGGGGAUGGGCUCGCGGCUUAUCAGCCUGUUGGUGGGGUAGUGGCUUACCAAGGCUUUGACGGGUAGCCGGCCUGAGAGGGUGACCGGCCACAUUGGGUCUGAGAUACGGCCCAGACUCCUACGGGAGGCAGCCGUGGGGAAUAUUGCACAGUGGGCGGAAGCCUGAUGCAGCAACGCCGCGUGCGGGAUGACGGCCUUCGGGUUGUAAGCCGCUUUCGCCUGUGCCGAGGCGUGGGUGACGGUCCCGAGUACAGCAGCCCCGUCUGCCUCCGUG
rnacentral:rRNA from 1 species